GAGUUUGAUCGUGGCUCAGGAUGAACGCUGGCGGCGUGCCUAACACAUGCAAGUCGAACGGGAACCCUUGGAUUCGUCUGGGGGGAGAGUGGCAAACGGGUGAGUAACACGUUGGUGACCUGCCCCAAAGAGGGGAAUAACCACUGGAAACGGUGGCUAAUACCCCAUGUGGUCUGUCGGUCGGACGGCAGAUUAAAGCGCCCCAUUAGGGCUGCGCUUUGGGAGGGCCUGCGGCCCAUCAGGUAGUUGGUAGGGUAAUGGCCUACCAAGCCGAUGACGGGUAGGGGCGUGAGAGCGUGAUCCCCCACACUGGCACUGAGACACGGGCCAGACUCCUACGGGAGGCAGCAGUGAGGAUAUGCCCCAUGACGCAAGUCUGAGGCAGCAACGCCGCGUGGGUGGUGAAGGCCUUGGGUUGUAAAACCCUUUUCUGGGGGUACGAGAAAGGACGGUACCUC
rnacentral:rRNA from 1 species